rnacentral:lncRNA from 1 species
CGGGAUUUACAGUUUUAUAAAAUUUGGGUCACAUAAUCUCCUUGCAAAAUGAAACAAAGUUUUAAAAAAAUAGGGGUCCAUGCACUCGUUUUCAAAUUAAAUCAGUUUGAAUGAUAAAAAUCAGUCGAAUAAUGCAUCUUUUCCCGAUAUGUCAUAGUUUGACAUCGCGAAAAUAAUAUUUUAUGUUAGCAACAUCAUUACCUUUCCUGUAACUGUAUCGUAUGCCCUUAAGCGUCUUUCAAAAUACUUGUAAAUAUUAGACUAAACAAAAACCUUACAUUCAUUCUACACACUAUGAUCAAUGUCAUACAAUUGAAUUCAAAUACAACUAAAUCAAAUGCCAAAGUUCUAAACUGAAGCACACUUGCAUUGCAUCAUUUAUUGUUUACUGAGCCCUCAUUGACAUUCUCAAAUUAUACCUUAAACUACAUAAUUCUAAUUAUAUAAUAGUAAAAAAUGUUAUUCAAACUCUGUAAUAAUAAAAGACCAUGAUUAUUUUUGUCUUUCAAAACUGCAUCGUAAUCCAUUUAAAACAUCAAUGGAAACCAUGGAAAUGGCACUUUGAAAACUAGAAUAAUAACCCAUAGAAGCAAUUUUUGACCUGUAGAACUUAUUCUUAUUCUUGUUGUGGCCUCUUUCAUCUCUUGCACGAAGCCAAAUUACAAAAAAAAAAACAAUUUGAUUAGGUUAUUCAGCAUCAUGAAACGAUAUUGUGACUUUAUCAUUGGCUAUUCAUUGGGUCAUUCAUGACUUAUAAUUGUCAAAUAGAAGUACAUUUCUUCAAUGGCAACAGAGAUAUGUUAUUUAUUUAAAAAAUAAACAAAACACACACGAUAUUCACAUAAAAAUCCUUUUUUGUCAAAUUUGUUUACAUUCUGAAGUUUUUGUAAAAUGUUUGAAAUGUUUAUGUCAGAACAGGACAUAUGACGUCAUCUUAUUAUGUGCAAAAGAUUGUACCAACAGGUCAAAGACUUUUCAAUUUGACACAAAGAGAACAUUUACCAUUAGAGAAAAAGGUUUAACAACUCAUUAAAUUGGAUAUUGCUUGCAAUUAACUCGUCUCUUGUAAUGUAAUUAAAAUAGUAAAAUAAACUCACUUGUUAUGAAAACUAUAAUUAUUUAAGACUAACCCAUAGUAAUGAUAGUUGCAAAUUCAUCUUUUCUUUCCAGGA